ensembl:lncRNA
UUCUAAUCGAGUUUUGCUAUGCUGACUCUCUUAUUUCUUUCUACCCUGCAGUUUGCGUGUUGUUUUACAACACUGCAAAAUUUGCCUGAAGAGUAAAUAUUUGUGAGUUUUCAGAAUCUUGUCAUGUCCCACAAAGGAAAAUAAUUUUCCUGUGCUACUUCUACUAUUACCUUGAUUUCACCGUGGGAAGGUACAGAUCUAAUCCUUUGGAAGGGGGGAACUAUGAGGUGAAGAAGCAGCCAGAGGAGUAAAACAGGGUUGGCAGCGAUGAUAUAGGAAGAACUUCUCUAAAGACUAUGAAAAAGGACUUCAGAGCCUUGGGAUGACAGGCGCAGGAGCUGACCAUCUCCAAGUCACAGAAGACGAGCUGAUGCGCAAGGAGGCUGG